GGGCCCAAUCCCGUUACAAGGACCACGGACUUCCGUUUCGUUCCGCCUGUAAGUCCCGCCUGGUCCCGCCUCCUCCUGAAAAGAGCUCAGUUGUCAAGGAACUAUUUUUCUUGCCGUCGUCCCAGAGAUGCCUUUGGAAAAGCGGAAGGGCACGGAGGGUUCUGGAGUUCGUUGCUGGCACCUGCGUGGUGUCAUGAGAACGUGGCGGGGCGAUUCACACUACAAGGAAUACUAAAGGACGUUCUCCACAUUGAAGGAAAAUGAUCUAAAGAGAAACAGAUCUGUAAGAAGAAAUGAAGAGCACUGGUAAAGGUAAAUGUAAAAUUAUUUAAGACUAAACUAUAUGUUUAAGUCAACAAUAGUUGUGAUAAUUAUAACAUAAUAAAAGUAAAAUUACAUAACAAUGGCAUAAUGGGGGGCAUGGAAUUACCUAGCUUCACCUUCUGCAAUGUGUGGAAACAGACUGAGGUCCUCACCAGAAGCAAAUGCUAGCACCAUGCUUCUUGGAGACCCUGCAGAACUGUGAGUCAAAUAAACCUUUUUCUUUAUAAAUUACCCAGCCUCAGAUAUUCCUUCACAGCAACACAAAAGGACUAAGACAUUAUUGUAAGGUUUUAGACAUUUUACACAUUGUAUAAGAUGUGGUGAAAUACUAAUUCAAAGCACAGACAGUCCCUGAUUACAGUGGUUUGACUUACAGUUUUUCAACUUUACAAUGUGUUCAUUGGGAUGAUUAAAUGCAUUUUCAACUUAACAAUAUUUUCGGCUUACAAUGGGCGUAUCGGGACAUAACCCCAUCAUAAGUUGAGGAACAUCUGUAGAUUAUAAUAAAUUAAACAUGCACAUAGCGAUCUAGAAUAACUAUUAAAAGAAAAUGCAAACAUAGGUAUAAC
rnacentral:lncRNA from 10 species